AUGAAUAUGUUUACUCAACGUAUGCGGAGUGGACAACCUAUAAAAAUUGCUUGUUUUUUUGCUCUAACUCUUGAAUUUGUAAUUGUCACUCUGUUUGUGACCACCAAGUAUACUUUCUUCCUCCGUUUUUGUUGCUGGCUACAAUGUAUACAGGACAUGUUUCUUUUCUUUUAUUUGUUGUGUAUCAAUAUUCAAGAAAUAACUAGACUCAUACUUGUCUUUGGUGAUUAUCAUUUUGAACAAGUAAAUAACAUGACACCUACAAAAACAUGA